CGGAGGGUGCGAGCGUUGUCCGGAAUCAUUGGGCGUAAAGGGCGCGUAGGUGGCCUGGUCAGUCGGUGGUGAAAGCGCGGGGCUCAACUCCGCGUCUGCCGUCGAUACUGCUGGGCUUGAGCACUGUAGAGGCAGGCGGAAUUCCGGGUGUAGCGGUGGAAUGCGUAGAGAUCCGGAAGAACACCGGUGGCGAAGGCGGCCUGCUGGGCAGUGGCUGACACUGAUGCGCGACAGCGUGGGGAGCAAACAGGAUUAGAUACCCUGGUAGUCCACGCCGUAAACGAUGGGCACUAGGCGCUUGGGGGAGCGACCCUCCGAGGGCCGGCGCUAACGCAUUAAGUGCCCCGCCUGGGGAGUACGGCCGCAAGGCUG
rnacentral:rRNA from 1 species